CCAGCACCCAGCUCAGCCCCACUUCUCAGCAGCCCUCUGGAAAACCCAAAGUGUGUGGUGAAAGCCUGCGUAAAUCAGGGGAGGAACCACCUUUACUUUCCUGGUUUGGUGAGUCAGCAGCCUAGAGGAGAAGAACACAUCUUCCAGGAGAACAGAUGAACCCUCCUGGAGGGGUUCACAUGGUGGUGUGAAAGAAGAGCUUUUGCACAGGAAAAAGCCACAUCCCUCAGAGAAAGUCAAGCUGUAACAAAAGAAAAGAAUAAUCAGGAGCUGAUGGGGC
rnacentral:lncRNA from 1 species